CAUGUUUAGCCUGGAGAAGAGGAGGUUAAGGGGUGAUAUGAUAGCCAUGUUCAAAUAUAUAAAAGGAUGUCACAUAGAGGAGGGAGAAAGGUUGUUUUCUGCUGCUCCAGAGAAGCGGACAUGGAGCAAUGGAUCCAAACUACAAGAAAGAAGAUUCCACCUAAACAUUAGGAAGAACUUCCUGACAGUAAAAGCUGUUCGACAGUGGAAUUUGCUGCCAAGGAGUGUGGUGGAGUCUCCUUCUUUGGAGGUCUUUAAGCAGAG